rnacentral:tRNA from 1 species
CUGGGUGGGGCAAAUGGUUAAUGCACUCAGCUGCUAACUGAAAGGUCAGAGGUUCAAGUCCACCCAGA